AAUGUAUUCACAGUCGUGUUCGAGCAAAUAUUUGUUUAAUUUUUAAUACAAUUUUUUCUCAGUGUAAUCCCGAGCGUUGCUCGAUCACACUAAAGAUCUCCCAGAGUGCCGAUGCCCGAAAUAAUUCUAGCUUUCUUGAAACGAGAAUUGAAAUGCCGAGAUCGACACGACGAGAUGAUGAACCGAAAGAUUGUUAUUAUUGUCGAGAAAGUUUUUCGACACGUUGCCUCGUCUCUAUUAGUCUCGAUAUUACGACACGUUCUUGGGACACUUUCUAGAAUCUAGAUCUGCGCUCUGGGAGAUCCGAUCUCCGGACUUUUGGAUUUCCAAAGUUGCUUUUUUCCCGGGGGCGAAGCCCACGAAGUCGCAGAGUUACCAAGCGAUCGAUCGCUGCUCGUAGCAGCCGCGUGUGUAACAGUGUAGAUAAAGUUGCCGAGGUCGUGAUGCAUUAUUCAGCAAUAAAUCGUAAUCAAGCGAGACAUCGCGCAGGCCGAUCGCUAAUUGAUCGAUCAGUUUCGGCCGAACUUAACCGGCGCACGUCCCAAUUAAUCACUCGGCCGGUCACCGUGAUUCGCAUUCGAGGCGGAUCGACGAAGGGCGGAUUCCCGCCGUGUCGGCCUGGCGGUCUUUCGGCGCUGAUACGCGCUCCGCAGGUUUCAAUCUAAGUUUAAACCCGUUGCCGUGAUUAACGAUAUUUGCCCGCUGAAAGUGCGGCUGGUGAAUCGGCCGCGCGCUCUCUUCGCGGCGAAGACGGUUACAUAACGCCGAAGCUGAAGCUUCGGAACACUCUCGCCGGUGUCUGUAUAUUGUCUAUCGAGAUUGAUGUUUGGCUAACGAGCUAAAUUUAGACGGAAGCCCGCGAGUGACGGACAGCCCUCCGUACUGGCACACAUUUGGCCAGCGAGAGUGAAAGCCUCGAUUCGCGCCGCUCGUCAGCCGGUUUCCCGAAUAAUUAUACCCUUAGGCGACGUGUCGCAGCCUCUGUUGACUCCGUCGAGGUCUUCUUCUUUUUUCCUCCCCUGAUUACGCGAGGAGAGACGCUUCGAAGAUCCGCGCUUGAGCGGCUCACCUUCGGGCCGGGUUCCGAUUUAGCGGCGUUUCUGCCGAGGAAGUUACCAAGCCGCAACUUCCACAAUGCCUUAAUAUAACUCGAGGUAGCGGAACUCGUUGCUCUCCGAGCAACAUCAACGAGGUGGUGGGAUCUCGUCUUCUACCAAUCCCGCGGCCAGGAGGUGCGAGCGCCGCGAGGAAGACCCGAGCGCCGUUCGUGCCGCGCGCGAUUGAGUGGGUGGGGCCGCGCUGCCGCUGGCGAUGCGGUUCCUGGAGGAAUUUCGGGAUCACCGGGGCUCCGAGCGCGGAUCCUGCGUCGCGCCACGCUAGUCUACGAUCGCACGUAAAGUGGCGUGGCACGCACGUUGCUCAGGCCGAGAGCGCGAUCUUGGAGAAUUCACGCACCCCCACACUCGCGCACGCUCCACACGCAUACACGCGCGCACGUGCGACGCACACACACACACACACACACACACACGCACACACGCACACACACACACACACACACAAGAUACCCUCGUAUAUAACAACAUUCGGCGUUGAAUUCGAAGACUCAACUGUUAGCACGGCAAACGCCAUUAGUUCGCGAAAACAGUCCAAUCAUUCAGAGUGUGCUGACCGUACCGGCCAGAAGAUGCCACAAGCGGGCCACGAGACGAAAAACCUUCUGAUGACGUACAUGAUCCUCAUCCUCCUGCUAAUCUCGCUCUGGUUACUGUACUCGGGGAUGUUUUAUUAAACACGGCACAUUCCUCAUCAUGGGCUGAAGAACAACGAGAACACGUGUCGCACGGCGGACGCACGCGGAGGACUCAGGAUCGCCAUGGACACCUCGUUCGAAGCCCACCGGCUCUCUCUCUCGCCAGCAUUUCUCGUACUUCCUACAACUUUAGGUGCCUCGGAGAUAUACGUUCCGCGCAAAUCGCUCUCUCUCUCUCUCUCUCUCUCUCUCUCUCUCUCUCUCUCUCUCUCUCUCUCUUUCUCUCGUUGCUCGGCGCUCGAUCUCCGCGACCUGGACAGCCGCCGGUUCCCGUCGUUCCCCACGUUCGGAGGCAUCGCGGGGAAAACGAAGACGCCGGCAGGGACGGAGGAGCAGCGAGGACGCCGCGAGGCCUCCCACGAGCUCGUCGCUUUCUCGACUCUCCUCGCUCCGUCGCGGAAAUCGGCUACGCUACGCUGAAAAUAACCUCCUAGUUACGUUACGCUAAUCGGAUUCUCCUAGACGGGGAACAGCGGCGGACACGAUAUUCGUUGUCUCGCGAGCGCCGAUUCGCAGGCGCGUGUCCCGUCGUUGUUAACCGGCUCUGUCCUCAUUUGAGCUCGCCGAUCGUCAAUAAAUCACGCCAAGGGUAGCUCCGAGUGUCGUUCCGUCGUGUCGGGCCGCCGCGUCUCGUUUUAUUUUCUUCGAUCACGAUACAUAGAUCACAUGCCCCACCCACGCCUAUACCACCUACACACAUUCGUGUCCUUGCAGAUUUGCUCGCACUGUAUCUUCGAUGAUAGCACAGACGACGAAAUAAAUCUCUUCGUUCGGAA